GCGUGUGCUGCGUAAGUUCAGUUGCGUGGUGAGCGGGGCAGCGGGCUCUGGCUGCGGCCGUCACGGCGUGCGGCGGAGGCAGAGAAGAGGGGGUGGGAUGGGCGUGUAGGGGCGGCAGCUAGACGAGUUGUGGCGGCGAGAAGCUAGAGGAUUCGAGUCGGCGCAUGGACGAGUCGGGGCGGCGGCAGCCGGCAGCGGCGUGGUCGGUAGUAGCUGCGGCCUGGUGCCGCUCCGCAGCUACGGGAGGUACCGCCCUCGACCCUACUCCCGCAGGUACUGCCCGUCCUGGGGCAGGAGGGGGUCAGAGGGCGGAUGAUGGAAGUCGCCGGGCUGGGUUAUGCUACCGUAAUGAGGUAGUAGGGGUACCGGCGGCGGAAGGAGCCGGCCCCUGUUGAAGAACCCCUGUUGGGAGCAGGGGCCCCGGCGGACUCGGCGACGACGCCAUGCGAAGAAAUAGGCGUGGGGAAGGACGAGAGAAGAGAAGGAAAGAGUGUAGUGUCUGAGGUUUAAACAGCAACGGGUACGGACUGAAUCCUUUUUUGUUGCUCGAACACUCUUUUAGGCAGGCCGAAUCGAGUUUUAAGUCCUCGGGUAAGUCUUCCAAGACAAACAAAGAUGUUAACCGAGGCUUAGUGAACACCUGUGAACCUGCUGCACGAAGUCGGUUAACGUGGCUUUUACCGGGCUUAGAUCUAAGUCGAAGUGAGCGUUUCGGCUAAGGUUUACCGAGAAACAAAGUCGAAGUCUAAAAAAAGGAUGUUCUUAGACGACGGACUUCGUCUUUGUUUGUAACGGUCUUAGUAGCGUACUUAUUUGGUGCCACAUCAAUUGACUAUGGGAACUACCGUCACGUAGAAUCCUUUAUAUUAAGGGAAAACACAUACGCAGUACUCCACCAUCCGAGGCCGACGGCCGGACAUUGAAAGGUCGAAAACUGAUAUUAUCACGUUUACACGACUAGCUCGUACACGACAAUUAGCGAGGUAGGUUAGAAUAGAACGAGCAGUCUAUCAAAUAAAACAGUCUAAAGAACUUGAACCGGUGGUUCGACGGAGGAAACAGAUUGUACUAUACUACUCUAAGAAAAUGAGGUGAACUGGUUCCGUGUGAUUUUAACUGACCAAGUCGAACGGACGGUUCCUUCACGGAGACAAAGGAGAACCAAAGGAAUGACUUAAACAGGAGCUCACCGGCCGGAUAUGUUGUAAUAACUCCAACUAACCAUGAUCAUAUAAGAGAGUGUUUGUACUAUUUAUAUGGGGAUGAAGUGAACAAUUGUGGAUGGAAGAAGUCUCGGUCUCGCACUCUAAAGUUCAUACAACGGUCGGUACCUCCUCGGGGAACAACCCCCAUUGCCGUCGUGACUCCUCUGUCCUCCCGGUUUCCUCUCGAACCACCACUGACUCCAAUUCUUCGUCGAGAUGGAACGACCCGGGGAGUAGCGGCCUACGGACAACGUCUCGCAGCACGUCUACUAUAGCCAGUACAAACACCCGGUAGAGCCACUCGAGCGAGAGAGUUCACGGAGGUAGCGGUGGAGGAAACGGCCACAGUGGCCGAAGUCGAACAACAGACCGUACCGCUCGUCGAACCUGUGUGACACACCCGUUCGGAAGCCCCGUUCUGUCAUGGUAGACGAGCCGUAGAUGUUCGUCUCCCGUUACGAGCACGAGUGAGACCACUCGCAACACCAACGGCACGAGACCCGCAUGUGGCCCGUCUAGGAGGACGAGAAGCCGGUCCUGGGCCUCUAACGGAACCCCCGUCCCUCGAUGUAGGCCACCUACUAAGGUCGUGACAAACGAAUGCCUGACGACGUCACGGUGCAGGCGAAGGAGGUCUGCGUCUUGUAGCAGGAGGGCCACUACCGUUCGCGUCCCCAGUGCCGCGACUCGGUACACGAACACACGACCAAUGACCACAUGUUCGAACCCGACCCGUUGUUCCCGCGACGGGACCGGUUACCGUAGAGCAUGGACCGGUUACACAGUUAGAACCGAUAGAUGUAGUCCUAGAGAGGUAGGACAUCCUCGUGGACCUAUCCGGAGAGUUUCCUCCGCAAAGCGCUGUAGGAAUCGAAGUACUUCGAACGACACGGUAGACGCGACUACCAAACGGAUCUCACCACCAGUAAACUCGACGACCAUGAAGAGAGGCCUGAAGAGGGUUUAGGAUUCGACCUUCGUAGCCACAACAGGUAAACGAACUUGUGUCCAAGUAAUCGUAAGUACUAGGGGAAGCCAGAACCCCGUCGGUAUUCGUGGGCACAAAGUUUGCUCGAACCACGACCCGCUGGACUUCGACGGGCAGACCGAUGAGCACACUAGUACCAAGACCCGGAGUGCUGACCACACAGAAAUCCUGAGUAAUACGAGAGCCACGCGUUAGAUACCCCCAUGCGUAUGUCGUUGCUCUUACUCCACCACCUUAUGUAACGCUCUUACUACGGCGAAGAAAGGCACUGCUAGUAAAAGCUGCUAGAUGUUACACAAGAAAGUCCAUAACAGUCCCCGACACCGAACGUUUACUAACCACGAACACACUUAGAGUCGCGUAUGAUGGAACAGCCGUAAGGCCGCCGCGAUACGAAACGGAAACAGAUGGUAGAACCGCCUUACCCCGACACCAAGCCUUAUUAGACGCCCUAUCACCGUGUCUACGACGACGACGACCCGUAAUGGUACGCGUGGUUGACCCUAUUUCUCCGAGAGUUUCGUUUCUUGUCUCAAAAGUCAAGCGGGGACGGAGAUCUGUACUGCUGUACUUGUACCUUGUACUACGAAUUAACGAGAACCGGUCCUGGACCUGGUCCUACGAUUGACCCGUUUUCUCUAUUCCUUGAACAAUUCUUAAAUCUUAACCAGUGCCGAAGCAGAAGUACAGUGGUCGUACCACGAAGGAGCUUUCUUUGCAGUGGGCUGUUUUACUAGACAAGACCAUCAAAAACAGCUUCGUGCUCUACCCUACCUACAAAAGUGUCCGUUUCCGUACCGUGAGUGAACUAUGUCAUAUUCGCUUAUUUAGUUAUUUCAUUUUUACACCACAAAUGACCGUUCACGCGUUCUAUUUGCGUGGUAAGCAGUUACUUGAGAGCGGUCUACUCGUGUAACCAGUGUGCACAGGGUUUUACACAUUUUUACCAGUAAAACCAAACAAAGUACUCGCUUACCCAGUCAAGGGACAAAGGUCGGCAUUGUCCGACUGCACCGAACGAAUGAAACCCUGGGUGACAGUCUUAAACCAACCGAUACUUUUUAACAUGUCCUCCCUGAGCAAAAUAAGUUACGCCGGGAAAUCCAAUAACAAGAACAAAAAAAAAAGGCCUUUUACCAAGCAAGUUUUAGGGGUUAGGACGGUUUAGGAUCGAGAAGAAUGAGACGGUAGAGAGAGUUAGACGGUGGCGGCAGUGGAUCGAGCUCUACCUAGUCAAACUCCCUCUCUCAGGACUAAACGGUGGGACGUAGGGUUUUAUAUAACGUUCAGACGUACACACGGGAGAGACCAGUUACUAGAACGAGAAGGAGAGAAGAGUGUACGAUAAAAAGAGAACAAUAAACACUAGAGACUACAAUGUAAUUAAAGAAACAUAGCUACCUGUACCAUUAGACGUCCCUCACCCGUAGAUCCUACUCACUUCACUUUUCUUAUCUACGUGACUACAAUCAUUUUUUUAUUUGUCACGUUACCGUCAAGGGUCAAAGAUGCUUUUGUUUCACUUCUCCUUACUGAAUGAAAUGACAAUACAAAUCCCUUCACAGUUUUUUCUUUUAAAGUUUAAAUGAAUUUUAAAAUUUAAGGUGUUCUUAAUAUUUGACGUAUACGACAUGUCACAACAAGUUCUGUCUGAGAAAUAUAGACCUGUAUAGUGCAACUACACUGAAUCCAACAUUUAUCGGAAUGUUAGAACUUCGAUCUGUUGUAAAACUAAGAAUAUCGAAAACAAAGGAGUUCACAUAGUCGACUAAGGAAUAUAAGAAAGACGAGAUGGUAUAAACGUACAUAGGACAACGAAGAAAAAGGAACUCUACGAUCUGGCAUAAAAAAAAUAAAAAAACGUUGAUGUUGCUACAUAUAAAAGACUAAGGUAAACAACAACUACGUCACCUUUCGCCCUAGUUGUCGACUUAUAACAAUUCGAUUGUGUAAAGAACGACCACACACGAAAAUAGUUAAUUUUGCGUACAAAGAGUUCUCUGCGUUUGACGUUCACUAAGUCUUACUCUCAUCGUUGAAAACGGAAACGAAGACGAUGUAUGAAGACAUAUAACCGUAAGUUGAUAAAACCAGCAAGGGUAAAUCAAAGAUUUAGGGUCAAUUCGGAACACCUUCAGAUCGUCUAGUAUUUAAACUCUGUACCUAGGUUGAAAGAAUGCCACGUACCUCUUUAUAUGAAUGCUGAAGUCUAAAGUCUAGACCUGAAAUCUGAAGUCUUCAAGGAGACCGGGUAAGACAGUUCAGAAAAAAAGAAGAAGAGAAGGUAAUCCUAGGUCUAAACCUGAAGACAUGUAAACGAGGGGUAGAAUCUAGUAAUUCACAACAUGAAAAACACGUAAGAUAUAUACUGUAAGAAACAGUUCAGAAACAAAGAAGAAGAGAACGUAAUGUAAAGUCUAAAGCUAAAGAUAUUUAAACGAGGGAUAGAAUCUAGUGAUAAGCAACAUGAAAAACACGUAAAAAGAUACAGCAAUGUAACCACGUAACUAAAGAAAAGGUGAAGUAAGAAGGAUUUAUCGGGAUGCUUCAAAGAUGUGUUUAGACCUUUUGUACAAAAGGAAGUGAAAAAUCCGUCCUAGUCCGGGUGACGUACGUUAGGACUUGCCGAGCGGAGAAGCGGCUGGGUCCUCAUCGUCCGUGGCAACGUACUCUUGUCUGACGUACGACUUUUACUGAGACUUCCGUGCAAGUUGAACCGACGGUUCGCUGACGCAGACAAAGGAGAACCAAAGGUCACGGCCCGGAUAUGUUAUUACUACUCUUGGUCUUGCACUCUAAAGAUCGUGCAACGGUCGGUACCUCCUCGGAGAACAACCCCCGUUCUCGCUGUCACUCCUCUGUCCUCCCGGUUUCCUCUCGAACCACCACUAACUCCACUUCUUCGUCGACAUGGAGCGGCCCGGGGAGUAGCGGCCUACGGACGACGUCUUGCAGCACGUCUACUAUAGCCAGUACAAACAGCCGGUAGAGCCGCUCGAGCGGGAGAGCUCACGGAGGUAGCGGUGGAGGAAGCGGUUACAGUGGCCGAAGUCGAACUACAGACCGUACCGCUCGUCGAACCUGUGUGACACACCCGUUCGGAAGCCCCGUUUCGCCAUGGUAGACGAGCCGUAGAUGUUCGUCUCCCGGUAGGAACACGAGUGAGACCACCCGCAACACCAACGCCACGAGACCCGCAUGUGGCCCGUCUAGGAGGACGAGAAGCCGGUCCUGGGCCUCUAACGGUACCCCCGUCCCUCGAUGUAGGCCACCUACUAAGGCCGUGACAAGCGAAUGCCUGACGACGUCACGGUGCAGGCCAAGGAGGUCUGCGUUUCGUAGCAUCAGGGCCACUACCGCUCGCGUCCAGAGUGCCGCGACUCGGUGCACGAACACACGACCAACGACCAUAUGUUCGAACCCGACCCGUUGUUCCCGCGACGAGACCGGUUACGACAGAGCAUGGACCGGUUACACAGUUAGAACCGAGAGAUGUAGUCUCAGAGAGGUAGGACGUUCUCGUGGACCUGUCCCGAGAGUUUCCUCCGCAAAGUGCUGUAGCAGUCGAAGUACUUCGAACGGGACGGUAGACGCGAGUACCAAACGGAUCUCACCACCAGCAAACUCGAAGACCAUGAAGAGAGGCCUGAAGACCGUUUAGGAUUCGAACUCCGUAGCCACAACAGAUAAACGAAUUUGUGCCGAAGUAAUUGUAAGUACUAGGGGAAACCGGAACCCCGUCGGUAUUCGUGGGCACAAAGCUUGCUCGAACCACGACCCGCUGGACUUCGACGGGCAGACCGAUGAGCACACUGGUACCAAGACCCAGAGCACUGUCCACACAGCAAUCCUGAAUAAUAUCAGAGCCACGCGCUAGAUACCCCCAUACGCAUGUCGUUGCUCUUCCUCCACCACCUCAUGUAACGUUCUUACUACGGCGAAGAAAGGCACAGCUAGUAAAAGCUGCUAUACGUUACACAAGAAAGUCCACAACAAUCCCCGACACCGGACGUUUCCUAACCUCGAACACAGUUAGAGUCGCGUAUGAUGGAAUAGCCGUAGGGCCGCCGCGAUACGAAACGGAAACAGAAGGUAGAACCGCCUUACCCCGACACCAAGCCUUAUUAGACGCCUAACUAGCACGUCUACGACGAAGACGACCGGUAGUGGCACGCGUGGUUGACCCUGUUUCUCCGAGAGUUCCGCUUCCUGUCUCAAAAGUCAAGCAGGGACGGAGAUCUGUACUGCUGAACUUGUACUUCUACCUUGUUCUACGUGUUAACGAGAACCGGUCCUGGUCCCGCGACUGACCCGUUUCCUCUGUUCCUUGAGCACUCCUUUAAUUAACCAGUAGCGAAUCAGAGGUACAGUGGUCGUACCGCGAAGGAGGUUCCUUUGCAGCGGGCUACUUACUAGACAAAGUCACUAAAAAACAGCUUCUGCACUCUAUCUUAAUAUCUUUAUCUUACCUACAAAAGUGUCCGUUUCCGUACCGUGAGUCAGCUAUGCACAUUCCUUUAUUUCGUUAUUUCAUUUUUACAACACAAAUGAUCUUUUAGACGUCAUACCUACGUUGUAAAAGAAAAACUCUUAAAUCAUCUCCUCUAAUAAUAAAAGAACCAUUUUUUUAUAAUCCAACAAAACAGAGCCACCAGCGACUACACCGUUUUGACUUAAUGAUGUGCCGGGUUGCUCUUCCUUCACCACCUUAAACCCACUUCCGUUAAGGUAGCAGAUCUAAACGGUUCCUAGUGAACUAGUUCA
rnacentral:rRNA from 1 species